CUGCGUGACUGACAGCUGUCCUUCAUCACAACAGAAGCCACAGAAAUCCUCUUCAUCAAAAACAUGAGUGUGCUCUGCGUCCUCAUCUGGACUCUCCUCUGCUUGACUCAAGGGUCUGCUGGACAAAACGUUGUGGUGACUCAGUCAGCAACCAAAUCUGUGCAGCUUGGUCAGACUGUAAACAUCAACUGUAAAGUCAGUACACAAGUAGCUCAGUAUUCUGGUUCAAAAUACUACCUGGCCUGGUACCAUCAGAAAACUGGAGAAGCUCCCAAAGCUCUGAUCUACUUAACAUCAGACAGACUUUCAGGAAUCUCCUCCAGACUGAGUGGAAGUGGAGCAGGGAAUGGCCUGGACUUCACUCUGAGCAUCAGUGCAGUCCAGGCUGACGAUGCAGGAGUUUAUUACUGUCAGAGUUACCACAGCACUCCGCUGUGGACGUUCGGUGGAGGAACCAGGCUGGAUGUUGGAAGUGACGCUCGUCCCACCCUGACGGUGCUGCCCCCCUCCAGAGAGGAGCUGCAGCAGGGGAAGGCCACGCUCAUGUGCCUGGCCAACAAGGGCUUCCCCUCAGACUGGAGUCUGUCCUGGAAGGUGGACGGCAGCAGCAGCAGCAGCUGGGAGGAGGGCAGGAGCCCAGGGGUGCUGCAGGAGGACGGCCUCUACAGCUGGAGCAGCACCCUGAGGCUCCCUGCAGACCAGUGGGAGAAGGUGGGCUCUGUGACCUGUGAGGCCACCCAGGGCUCCCACACUCCUCUCUCACAGACACUGAGGAGAGACCAGUGUUCCCAGUCCUGAGCUGACUCGCUGGUUUUCCUCUGCAGGUGUCUCUCUUUCUGUCACUCGUCUUUGUUUUGUUCAUCAUUUCACUGUUUGACACAAUAAAGAUUCAUUCAAAGAAACUCUCGUUCCACUUCUGCUCUUUUUAACUUGCACAGAUUGAGAUCCUUUCACAAUAAACACAGUUGUUCUUCACUCAGGGGUUUCAAACUCGUGGCCCGGGGGCCACUUGCUGCCCAUAUAUUGACGUGAAGAAAUAAAAUGCAGUUUGUCCUUUGAAGUGACUUUUUUGUUUGUUGUUAAGUGCAAAGUUAUUUAAAAAACCAAAAAUGAUUUAAUAUGACUGCAACAUGAGCAGAGAGUACAAACAUGCUGAGGUUCAGUGACUAAUGUGUUCACUUAUUUCUGCAUUUUGAUUCUGUUAAGUACGAACACAAUGACAGCAGACGUGCUGCUACAUGUCUGCAGACAGAGGACCAAUGACUUUAUUUGGCAGUUCAAUGAAAGGCUUCAGUUAGUUAAGAAGGAGGAAAAAGAAUCUGUAUUCAUGUUAUACAAUAUUUAA